UUUUAGCAAACUUGUGAGACACAAAUGAAUUUGUGGCAUGAGAUUCAAUCAAUGCACGAGCUAUAGAAAUAAAGAGCAUACCCUGAAUGAUGGUUGGUAUGGCUUUAACAUCUGGUAAAUUGAGGGCGUAGACUCUCUAUUGAACUAGUGGUUUACCUCCCUUCUAGACUUGGGACACUCUUUAAUAAUGUGUUGAGUGCUCCGACACUUGUAACAUGGCCUUUUACCAUCGUCUUUCCAACAAUAGUGGCACAUUUAUUUAGGGUUUUAGGUGUUACCUAAAGAAGGGGCAGUAUUCAUAUGGAGUCUCUUGUGAACUCGCCCUUGUUCUCACUAUCUCCUUUUUAAGGCAUCAGGAAUUCUAAAACAACUAAUGAUGUUAGCACGGAUGGCUUGAACUAUUCAAGUAACCAACCAAGUCAAGAAAGGAAAUGAUGCGAGUGGGUAUGGGGAGG
rnacentral:lncRNA from 1 species